rnacentral:rRNA from 1 species
GACGAACGCUGGCGGCGUGCCUAAUACAUGCAAGUAGAACGCUGAAGCUUGGUGCUUGCACCGAGCGGAUGAGUUGCGAACGGGUGAGUAACGCGUAGGUAACCUGCCUUGUAGCGGGGGAUAACUAUUGGAAACGAUAGCUAAUACCGCAUAACAAUGGAUGACACAUGUCAUUUAUUUGAAAGGGGCAAUUGCUCCACUACAAGAUGGACCUGCGUUGUAUUAGCUAGUAGGUGAGGUAACGGCUCACCUAGGCGACGAUACAUAGCCGACCUGAGAGGGUGAUCGGCCACACUGGGACUGAGACACGGCCCAGACUCCUACGGGAGGCAGCAGUAGGGAAUCUUCGGCAAUGGGGGCAACCCUGACCGAGCAACGCCGCGUGAGUGAAGAAGGUUUUCGGAUCGUAAAGCUCUGUUGUAAGAGAAGAACGAGUGUGAGAG